ACGGCGAUCGUCUAGUGGUUAGGAUUGACGCUUCCCAUCUCCUGCAGGUGAGAUAGCGUUAGACGUGGGUUCGAACCCCGCUCGCCGUA
rfam:Trichosporon oleaginosus strain IBC0246 unplaced genomic scaffold CC85scaffold_8, whole genome shotgun sequence.